GACGAACGCUGGCGGCGUGCUUAACACAUGCAAGUCGAACGCUGAAGCUCAGCUUGCUGGGUGGAUGAGUGGCGAACGGGUGAGUAACACGUGAGUAACCUGCCCUCUUCUUUGGGAUAACGCCCGGAAACGGGUGCUAAUACUGGAUAUUCACUGAUUCUCGCAUGGGGGUUGGUGGAAAGGUUUUUUCUGGUGGGGGAUGGGCUCGCGGCCUAUCAGCUUGUUGGUGGGGUGAUGGCCUACCAAGGCUUUGACGGGUAGCCGGCCUGAGAGGGUGACCGGUCACAUUGGGACUGAGAUACGGCCCAGACUGCUACGGGAGGCAGCAGUGGGGAAUAUUGCACAAUGGGCGAAAGCCUGAUGCAGCGACGCCGCGUGAGGGAUGGAGGCCUGCGGGUUGUAAACCUCUUUCGCUCAUGGUCAAGCCGCAGCUUGGGGUUGUGGUGAGGGUAGUGGGUAAAGAAGCGCCGGCUAACUACGUG
rnacentral:rRNA from 1 species